rnacentral:lncRNA from 1 species
UGGCUAAAGCACUUUUUUGUUCAAACACUAACCCAGUUAAUUACCAAUGAACAUCUGAAUCAAGAGCAACAACUUCAAUUAACUAACUUCAAUCAAGAGCAACAACUUCAAUAAAAAAAAAAUAAAAAAAAUAAAAAAAAAAAAAAAAACUUCAAUCAACUAACUCGAAGCCCAUUUCGGGGCAGCCUCCGUAAUCUUGUUCUCUUCAACUAGGAUCUUCUUCAAGCAUUGUGACUUGUGAACAAAAGCUUCAACUUCAUCAGCCUGAAUCAAUAUACAACUUACAAUAUCUAAAUUCCUCAGCUUCACACAGCUUUUGUUCAGAGAAACCAACAACACUGAACCUGUCAAGUUUUUACAUCCUCUCAAACUCAACUCAACCAAACCAGUGCAAGAAGCUUAACAUCGAAACGACUUCUUUGUCGAAUAACAACUCGUUAAACAGAAAGAUAUUAUUCAGAUUUGUUGGCCUCUCUGUUUCCACCUCUGAACAUCUAGGGACGUCUCCUUCUUCAAAUUC